rnacentral:sRNA from 1 species
CAACGGCACCUGAACACGCCGUCAUCUGGUCAAAGGCCUGUCCCCCGCCGAAGCCAGAUGUAAGGACAAAGGCCUAUCCCCCCUCUCCGGGCCUUUGUCCAAUUUACAACAAAGACCGCCGUGGCCCCGCCUCCGCCAUGGCGGUUUUUG